rnacentral:rRNA from 1 species
UACGGGGGGGGCAAGCGUCGUUCGGAAUUACUGGGCGUAAAGGGCUCGUAGGCGGCCAACUAAGUCGGAUGUGAAAUCCCCAGGCUUAACCUGGGAACUGCAUCCGAUACUGGAUGGCUUGAAUCCGGGAGAGGGAUGCAGAAUUCCAGGUGUAGCGGUGAAAUGCGUAGAUAUCUGGAGGAAUACCGGUGGCGAAGGCGGCAUCCUGGACCGGCAUUGACGCUGAGUGAGCGAAAGCCAGGGGAGCAAACGGG